UAAGCAGACCGGGUGAUCGCGGCUUGGCAUUGCUCAAGCCGAGGAAAGUCCGCUCUCCACAGGGCAACGGUGCCGGCUAACGGCCGGGCGGGGCGACCCGACGGAUAGUGCAACAGAGAAGGAUAUUGCCUCGCGCAAGCGGGGCGAGGGUGAAACGGUGGUGCAAGAGACCACCAGCGCCGGCAGUAAUGUCGGCGGCUUGGCAAACCCCACCGGGAGCAAGGCAAAGCAGGCGCAUUGGGGCGGCCCGUCCCGCAAAAAGCGCCGGGUAUGCCGCAUGACCGCCGGAGCAAUCCGCGCGGCUAGAGAGAUGAUCGCCGCCUCGCAAGAGGCACAGAAAGCGGCUUACAGGUUUGCUUAGACA
rnacentral:RNase_P_RNA from 1 species